UAUUAUUUUAAAUGUAAUUAAUAACACUUGGGUAGUAUUAGAUGUUUCUUGAAACCCAAAGAAUUUGGCGGUAUUUUAGUCUUUUCAGAGGAAUCUGUUUUUUUAUCGAUAUUCCACGUUUUAUCUUGCUUUACUUUGUUAAUCAGUAUGUAUACCGCCGUUAUCAGAAUGUUUUUUUAGAAUAAUAAUUUUCUUUAUCUUUUAUUGUGGUCAAUUUCAGGUCAAGGUGCAGUUUAUAGUAAAGUUUAAAUGGAUUACAAUAAAAUUUAUUUAUAAUGGAUUUUUAUAUGAAAUUGUAGUUUGAAGGUGAAUUUGAUAGUAAUUUAUUUUAUAAUAUUUAUUUGAUUUUAGCUCUAAAAUAUGUACAUAUCGCCCGUCGCUCUCAUUAUAAGGUGAG
rnacentral:rRNA from 1 species